UUGGUGAGUAUGCUGCAUCUGCUACUGCUACUGCAUUUGGAGAUUUGAAGAUGCUAUUGUCAGAAGGGAAUUUGUUGCAAAUUAUGCGGGUUCUAUUGUAAAUCUGUAAAAUACGUAGAUACUCAUAGUUGUACAAAGAAUGAUUUAACAAAAUUUAUUUGGUUUUCGUAACUGAGUUUUUUUUUUAAGAUUUUUUGUUUAUUUAUAAAUUUAAAAAAGUUUGCAUUUUUAGCCACAAUUGAGAAAUUUGUGUCCAUAUUGUUAUAAAAUAAUCUGGAAUAUAAGCGGAUAUUGAGCUGCACGUAAAAUAGAUGAGACACAGCUUUUAACGAGGUUCGGCUAUGCCUACGUCCUCGGAGAGCAGCAGCAGUAACCUUUCACUAUAAAAUGAUAUGGCUACAACUUUAGGGUUUACAACAUAUGUGGCUCACUGAAUUUUCUCUCUAGGAGAAUUUCUCUCUAGGAGAAUUUCUCUCUGCUUUCUCUUCUCUCUUUUCUUUUUCUUCUUUUUUCUGUCUCUCUUCUUUCCGUUUCUCUUCUUAUUUAUAGGCUGAAAUAAUCACUAUUCAUCACUAUUCACUAUUCACCCGUGACAGACAAACUCUACCAAAAGUCUCCAAAUGAAUAGUAAUGAACAGUAAUGAAUAGUUAGUGGGCUCCACACCAAGACUUUUACAACACUCCCCCUUGGAGACCACAUGUCCCUAGAUUGGUUGCCUCAUUAAAACCUUGCUUGGAAAAAUCCAGUGGGAAAAUCUAAGCGAAGGAAAAAAGUACAACGUGCAUAUGUCCUAUGUUAGAGGACUCUUGAAUGCUCCCCCUGAUUUUGCAUGCUCCAACUUGAUUGCUUGCAGAGUUGUCGUAAUCCGAUGCCAUGCACUAACUUUUGGAAUGUACAUUUCGGCAAUGAUUUAGUGAAGAGAUCUGCCAGGUUAUCACUUGAGCGGAUUUGUCUGACUUUGAUUUCUUGACUCUUCUGGAGCUCAUGUGUAUAGAAAAACUUUGGUGAUAUGUGUUUGUCCUGUCACCCUUGAUAUAUCCUCCUGUGAUCUGAGCAAUACAAGCUGCAUUGUCCUCAUUCAGAAUUGUUGGAGUGCCUGUUGUUGAGGGUAGGGCACAUGUGCUUCGGAUGUGAUGGAUUACUGACCUUAACCAAACGCAUUCACGACUGGCUUCAUGGAGGGCAAGUAUUUCUGAGUGAUUGGAAGAUGUGGCCACUAAUGUUUGUUUUGUUGAGCGUCAUGAGAUCGCAGUUCCUCCACAUGUAAAUACAUACCCAGUCUGUGAUCGUCCUUGAUGUGGAUCAGAGAGAUAUCCUGCAUCAGCAUAACCAAUAAUACUCUGGGCGUUGGUCGAUUCACUGGAAUAGAAUAACCCCAUGUCUGUUGUCCCACGAAGGUAUCGUAGAACAUGUUUGAUGCCGGUCCAGUGUCGCCUUGUUGGAGCAGAACUGUACCUUGCUAACAGAUUUACUGAGAAUGAUAUGUCUGGUUUGGUACAUUGUGCUACUUACAAUAAAGCACCUAUUGCACUAAGAUAUGGUACUUCUGGACCAAGGACCAUUUCAUCAUUCCCUUUUGGACGAUAUGGGUCUUUCUUAGUGUCAAGCGAUCGAACGACCAUUGGAGUGCUAAGUGGAUGGGCUUUAUCCAUGCCAAACCGUUUCAAUACUUUCUCAGUAUAAGUUGAUUGAUGCACCAAAAUUCCAUUAGCACUGUGCUCAAUCUGCAAGCCAAGACAAUAUUUUGUCUUUCCAAGGUCCUUCAUCUCAAACUCACGUUUGAGAUAAUCAACAGUCUUUUGAAGCUCUGCAGAAGUUCCAAUUAGAUUCAUGUCGUCGACAUAUACUGCCACUAUCGCAAAUCCAGACUUUGAUUUCUUAAUAAACACACAUGGGCAAACAGGAUCAUUUGUGUAUCCUUCCUUCAGUAAAUACUUACUGAGACGAUUGUACCACAUUCGUCCAGAUUGUUUUAGCCCAUAUAAUGAUCUUCUCAAUUUAACUGAGAACAUACCCCGUGGUUUGUUUCUGGCUGCUUCAGGCAACCUGAAUCCUUCUGGAACUUUCAUGUAUAUAUCUGUAUCCAAUUCUCCAUACAAAUAUGCGGUAAUGACAUCCAUGUGUCUCAUUUCAAGUUUUUCUGAAACCGCCAAACUUAUUAGGUAACGGAAUGUAAUUGUGUCCAUUACUGGAGAGUACGUUUCCACAUAAUCAAUUCCAGGCCUUUGUGAAAAACCUUGCACAACGAGUCGCGCUUUAUACCUUGAGAUCUCAUUUUUCUCAUUGCGCUUUCUUGUAAAUACCCACUUGUAACCUACAGGGUUCACAUUGGGUGGAGUUGGACUAAUAUGUCCAAAAACACUCCUCUUUUCCAAAGAAUUUAAUUCUGCCUGGAUUGCAUCCUUCCACUUGGGCCAAUCUUGCCUCUGUGUACAUUCAUUAAUAGAGCGCGGUUCAAUAUCAUCAUCUUUUAUGACUUCAGCAGCCACUGAGAAUGCAAAUAUAUCAUCGAUGAUCAUCUCAUUUCUACUCCACAAUUCAUUAGUGGACGUAUAAUUUAUGGAGAUUUCUUGACUUUCAGGUACGGUUGCCACUCCAUGGGCACUUGUCUCACCAAUGACUUUUUCCUUGUCAAGAAGUACCUGUCCCUCUUUGGGGGCAUUUGAAUUAUGAAUUGUGGGCUCUCUAUUUAUUUCAUUUGGAUUCAUUUUGUCCAUCAACUUUCUCUUUCGAGGAACUGAAUCCUUUGAGCCUAGUGGUCUGCCACGUUUUAGGCGUGCAGCAGAUGAACCAUUUGCUGGCACAUUGCUUUGUCCAUUAUGGACAUCAAUCCGUGCGGGUGCAUUUGCAGCUGGGAUAUGAGAUUUCGUCACCUUUGCUGCAUCAUUAAAUGCAUCUGGCAUCUGAUUUGCAAUACUUUGGAGGUGAACGAUCCUUCUCACUUCGUUUUCGCAUUGAGCAGUAUGAGGAUCGAGAUGAGACAAUGUGGAUACAUUCCAGGAUAAUUCAUGUCGUUUUUCAGGAAUGAGUUUGCCUUGUUCUUUAGACACAGAUUUUUCUCCCCCUAAUGGUGGGAAGAUUGUCUCAUCAAAAUCACAAUCCGCAAAUCGUGCGGUAAAAAUAUCACCCGUCAGGGGUUCCAAGUAUCUGAUGAUAGAUGGUGAAUCAACACCAACAUAAAUUCCCAAUCUGCGUUGAGGGCCCAUCUUAGUACGUUGCGAUGGUGCAAUAGGCACAUACACCGCACACCCAAAAAUUCUUAAAUGUGAAAUGUUUGGUUGAUUUCCCAAUACGAGUUGUAUUGGAGAACCUUGAUUAUUGGCGACGGGCCUCAAUCGCACAAGCGAUGCUGCAUGUAAAAUGGCAUAUCCCCAAGCAGAAACUGGCAACUUUGUUUUCAUUAGCAAAGUGCGUGCUAUCAAUUGAAGGCGUUUAAUUAAAGCUUCUGCCAAGCCAUUUUGAGUAUGCACAUGGGGAACAGGAUGUUCAAUAUCAAUGCCUAAUGACAUGCAGUAGUCAUCAAAAGUCUGAGAUGUAAAUUCACCAGCAUUAUCGAGUCUGAUUGAUUUAAUGGGAUAAUCUGGGAAUUGGGCUCGUAAUUUAAUUAUCUGAGCCAAAAGCCUAGCAAAUGCCAUAUUCCGAGUAGAUAAAAGACAAACAUGUGACCAUCGGGUAGAUGCGUCCACCAAGACCAUAAAGUACCGAAAUGGUCCACAUGGGGGAUGAAUGGGUCCACAAAUGUCCCCUUGAAUUCUCUGCAAAAAUGAUGGAGACUCAACAUCAACCUUUGGUUGUGAUGGUCUGAUCACCAACUUCCCUUGUGAACAAGCUUGGCAAAAGAUGUCGCUUGAUAACAUAAUGUGUUUAGUCAACAAGGGAUGUCCUUUAGAGUUGGUGAUGAUCCUGCGCAUCAUGGUGGAUCCAGGAUGACCCAACCUGUCGUGCCAAAGCUUAAAAGCAUUUGAGUCAGUAGACUCUUGGUCCAUGACACUAUGUGCCUCAAUUGUCCGUAUGGUUGUGUAAUACAACCCUGAUGAGAGCUCACAAAGCUUUUUCAGUAUACGCUUUUGGGUAUCACUGGAGGUAAUACAAAGAUAUUCCAUGUUUUCCUCUUUCUUUGUUUCAACAUGGUAGCCAUUCAAACGUAUAUCUUUGAAACUCAACAGAUUCCUUCUGGAGUUAGAUGAAUACAAAGCAUCUGGAAUGGACAAUAUUGUUCCAUUCGGUAACAUAAUUUGGGCUAUUCCUGAACCUUCGAUCAGAUCUGCAGGACCUGAUAUGGUUGUUACCUUUCCUUUUGUAAGCAUUAAUUUUGAGAAAUACUUCCGAUCUUGAAAGAUCGUAUGAGUAGUUGCGUUGUUUGCGAGACAAAUAUCUCUGCCAUAGCCUUUGUUUUGAGGGCAUCCACAAUUUACAUCCAUGCCACCAAAUAAGUAAAAUGAGCUGGAAUAUAUAAAGAAGACAACAUUACCACUUUUAUUUAAACAACACUUCAGCUAAUACAAAUAGUACAUUAAGGAAUUUAAUCUAAUUCGGACUUAAUAAAGAAGACAACAUUACCACUUUUAUUGGAUUGAAAUUUAAACAACACUUCAGCUAAUACAAAUAGUACAUUAAGGAAUUUAAUAUAAUUCGGACUCAUAACCUUCAUUCCCUUUUUCAGUAACAAAAUCAGAAACAUCUAGAUGCGUCUUGUUUAGCUGACGUGAUAUUUCUGAUGAGCCAUCUGUGGCUGGCGGAGCAUGAUCAAUGUAAUUUAUCUCCACUUUCCUGUUCUUAAGUGAAGCUUGAUAGAGAUCCGCCAAAUGCCUGGGCGUACGACAUGCGCGCAUCCAAUGUCCCUUUGCACCACAUCUGUGACAAGGGCUUUCAACAUUUCUAGGCACAUGGCUCAUCUGUGCCUUUCCCUUAUUACGGGAUGCAUUUUUGCCAUUCGUGGAUGGACCGCUCCUUGGACCUAAACCCUCUGAACGAGCACCACGAUUUUUUCUACUUCCUUGCCAGUGGCCACGCUUGCCCCCUCGCCCACGUUUGUGGAUACUACCACGAGAUAAAGUGGCAUUGGUGAUUCUUUAAUAAGAGCUCAUUAUUCUGCUCAGCUAAUAAGAGGCAAGAUACAAGUUCCGAGUACUUCUUGAAACUGCUAUGUCUGUAUUGCUGUUGAAGGAGGACAUUUGAAGCAUGAAAAGUGCUCAGAGUUUUUUCGAGCAUAUCCUCCUCAGAUAUAUUUUCCCCACAUAGCCUCAUUAAUGAGGUAAUUCUGUGCAUAGCAGAGUUAUACUCGGACACUGACUUGAAAUCUUGAAAUCUCAAGUGGGUCCAUUCGUAUCUAGCUCUUGGGAGAGUCAUCGUCUUCUGGUGAUCGUAUCUUUCACCUAUAGCUUUCCACAGAACCAACGGUUCAUCAACUACCACAUAUUCGCUCUUCAGCCCUUCAUGGAUGUGGCGGCGAAGAAAGAUCAUGGCCUUCGCAUUCUCUUCAGGCGAAGCAUCAUUCUCAUCUACAAUUGUUUGUCCGAGGCCAUUGGCUCGUAGAUGAAUUUUGGCAUCCAGGACCCAUGAUAAAUAGUUGUCCCCGGAAAGGUCCAAGGCAGCAAACUCGAGUUUUGCCAAAUUUGCCAUCUAAAACUUUAGGCUCGAGAUCUGAAAUAUUAAGCCACUUAUUAAUAGGAAUUUCAGGCCCUCAUUAUUCAGGUAUAUUAAUUGAUGAUAAAUAAAAUGUUAUGAAUUUGCUGGUAUGGACGAUAAACCUGCACCAUACCUUAAAUGUGCGGUAAAUUAAAUUCAUAAAGUUAAGGUGCUUGUAUGGGCAUUUAUUCUGCUCCAUACAUUUAAUAAAAGUAAAGGCGUGGACGAUAAACCUGCACCACCCUUUUAAAUAAAUACUAUUGUAUGGGUAAUAAACCUACACCAUACAGUAAAUAAAAUAAAUGUGCGGUAAAGUUAAUUUCAUAAAGUAUGAGGGUCAAUUCCUCAUCAUACUUUAAGAAAAAGUAAAUUUGCGAUAAAGUAAAUUUCAUAAAGUUAAUUUCAUAAAGUAUGAGGGUCAAUUCCUCAUCAUACUUUAAGAAAAAGUAAAUUUGCGAUAAAGUAAAGUGAGAGUAGACAUAUGACAGAGAGGAGACAGAGAAGUAACCACAUAGUGUUGAGUUGGAAAAAUUUCAGAAAUAAAAGGAGAGACUAUCGUGCUGAUAACGUGUUAUAAAAUAACCUGGAAUAUAUGCGGAUAUUGAGCUGCACGUAAAAUAGAUGAGACACAGCUUUUAACGAGGUUCGGCUAUGCCUACGUCCUCGGAGAGCAGCAGCAGUAACCUUUCACUAUAAAAUGAUAUGGCUACAACUUUAGUGUUUACAACAUAUGUGGCUCACUGAAUUUUCUCUCUAGGAGAAUUUCUCUCUGCUUUCUCUUCUCUCUUUUCUUUUUCUUCUUUUUUCUGUCUCUCUUCUUUCCGUUUCUCUUCUUAUUUAUAGGCUGAAAUAAUCACUAUACUAUUCAUCACUAUUCACUAUUCACCCGUGACAGACAAACUCUACCAAAAGUCUCCAAAUGAAUAGUAAUAAACAGUAAUGAAUAGUUAGUGGGCUCCACACCAAGCCUUUUACA
rnacentral:lncRNA from 1 species